rnacentral:SRP_RNA from 13 species
GCCGGGCAUAGUGGCGCGUGCCUGUAAUCCCAGCUACUCGGGAGGCUGAGGCAGGAGAAUUGCCUGAACCCAGGAGGCGGAGGUUGCGGUGAGCCGAGAUCGCGCCAUUGCACUCCAGCCUGGGUAACAAGAGUGAAACUCCAUCUCAAAAACAAAACAAAACACUGCACAAUUAAAUGAAUAAACUGCACAGUUACUUUAUAACAAAAUUACCUUUGAGAAACAUAAUUUCUUUUUUUUGAGACAGAGUCUUGCUCUGUCGCCCAGGCUGGAGUGCAGUGGCAUGAUCUCAGCUCACUGCAACCUCCGCCUCCUGGGUUCACACGAUUCUCCUGCCUCAG